rnacentral:rRNA from 1 species
AACGAACGCUGGCGGCAGGCCUAACACAUGCAAGUCGAGCGAGGUAGCAAUGCCUAGCGGCGGACGGGUGAGUAACGCGUGGGAACGUGCCCUUUGCUUCGGAAUAGCCCCGGGAAACUGGGAGUAAUACCGAAUGUGCCCUUCGGGGGAAAGAUUUAUCGGCAAAGGAUCGGCCCGCGUUGGAUUAGGUAGUUGGUGGGGUAAUGGCCUACCAAGCCGACGAUCCAUAGCUGGUUUGAGAGGAUGAUCAGCCACACUGGGACUGAGACACGGCCCAGACUCCUACGGGAGCAGCAGUGGGAAUCUUAGACAAUGGACGCAAGCCUGAUCUAGCCAUGCC